CCAGCAGCCGCGGUAAUUCCAGCUCCAGUAGCGUAUAUUAAAGCUGGAUUUCUGACUUCAGACACCUGAUCCUCCCGGAGUGUUUGUGUCAUCCUUUCAGUGAUCGAUUCUACCCUUAACCGGGUCGGAGCUGCAAAACUGGAUCUUUUAAAGCAGACCCAGAACAUAUUAGCAUGAUAAUAAUUUAGGACUUUUUCUAUUUUGUUGGUUUCUAGGACGAAAGUGCGAAAGCAUUCACCAAGGAUGUCUUCUUUAAUCAAGAACGAAAGU
rnacentral:rRNA from 1 species